rnacentral:rRNA from 1 species
CUAUACAUGCAAGUCGAGCGCAGGAAGUUAUCUGAUCCUCUUUUAGAGGUGACGAUAAUGGAAUGAGCGGCGGACGGGUGAGUAACACGUAGGCAACCUGCCUGUAAGACUGGGAUAACUCGUGGAAACGCGAGCUAAUACCGGAUAACACUUUUCAUCUCCUGAUGAUAAGUUGAAAGGCGGCUUUUGCUGUCACUUACAGAUGGGCCUGCGGCGCAUUAGCUAGUUGGUAAGGUAAUGGCUUACCAAGGCGACGAUGCGUAGCCGACCUGAGAGGGUGAUCGGCCACACUGGGACUGAGACACGGCCCAGACUCCUACGGGAGGCAGCAGUAGGGAAUCUUCCGCAAUGGACGAAAGUCUGACGGAGCAACGCCGCGUGAGUGAUGAAGGUUUUCGGAUCGUAAAACUCUGUUGUUAGGGAAGAACAAGUGCCAUAGUAACUGAUGGCACCUUGACGGUACCUAACCAGAAAGCCACGGCUAACUACGUGCCAGCAGCCGCGGUAAUACGUAGGUGGCAAGCGUUGUCCGGAAUUAUUGGGCGUAAAGCGCUCGCAGGCGGUUCUUUAAGUCUGAUGUGAAAUCUUACGGCUCAACCGUAAACGUGCAUUGGAAACUGGGGAACUUGAGUGCAGAAGAGGAGAGUGGAAUUCCACGUGUAGCGGUGAAAUGCGUAGAGAUGUGGAGGAACACCAGUGGCGAAGGCGACUCUCUGGUCUGUAACUGACGCUGAGGAGCGAAAGCGUGGG